UUGGAAACGGGUGGUAAUGCUGGAUGCUCCAACUUGACGCAUGUCUUGUUGGGAAAGUGUUUAGUGGCAUGGGAUGGGGUCGCGUCCUAUCAGCUUGUAGGCGGGGUAAUGGCCCACCUAGGCUUCGACGGGUAGCCGGCCUGAGAGGGCGGACGGCCACAUUGGGACUGAGAUACGGCCCAGACUCCUACGGGAGGCAGCAGCG
rnacentral:rRNA from 1 species